AUUACUGUAUUUCUGGUAGACAUGAUUUCUCAGCCUCCUCUGACGUCUCCACCAUGUCAUUCUCAUAUUGCUCAUAUGUUUUACACUAAUGUAACUUCAAAAUUACAGCUACUAAAACUGACCUCUGAUUUAAACAAACGCUUGCAAAAUGUUAAAAAUAGCAGAAAGGUUUCUUCCUUCUUUCAGUCAAGACAAAGAGCUACAAGAAUGGUGAGAAGUGAAAAUGUUUCAGGUGGGGGUCAAAUGUAGAAAGUGGCUACAGGCCUGUUAUAGGAGCCCUUUUUCCUUCCCUGAUGGAGUUAAGAGUUUGUUCUGGGACUCACUGAAGAAACAUUGUUCUCUACACCCUGUUGUGCAGAGAUUUUGCUUUUGCUUUCCUCAGGGCUUUACGAUCUGUACAGCAUACAACACCCUCUAUCCUUAGAACCUCAAUUCAGAUAAAACAGGAGGGGUCCUGUAAUGACAGACAGACAUGUACUGUAACAGGUGUUGUCUUUACAGAGUAGACACCUGGACAAGUAGUAGAAUUACAAUAUGAAGAAGCACAAUCAUAAUAUAGAAAUAAAGUACAAACGUUAAGGUGUGAUAAGUUAAAUAUUAACGGAGAUUUUCUUCUGUGUGAUUCCCUAAACUUACUGAAUCUCUUAUCAUAUCUCUUUAGGUUCAGCUUUCAGCAUCAGCAUGUAACGAUGUAAUGUAAAGUAAUAACUGAAACUCAUAUACCGAGAGUACAUGUGUGAUGAUCUGUUGUUGUGGGUGUCAGUCUAAUGAAUGUUAAGAAAAACUGUAGCUCUAACAUGAAAAUGAGCUGAGCUUGAUUAAAUAUGUAUCUGACACAUUGAAAUAACAGCUGGAGCCUCCUGACUUGUACACCUUAUUGUUCACUAGAUACUGGAAGACUGACUCCUGAAACUGAUGUAAAGCUGAUGGUUUCCCCAGAGAAGACUGCAAACAAGUACUAACAAAUGAUCUUUGUUCAGUGAAGAAGAAAGCCAAGGCUGAUAAAACUAAAACCCUGGACAAGUUUUUUAGAAGGAAGGGAGAAUGGAGAACAUCUCCUCGCACAAAUAUUUCUAUCUUGACGGCUUCAACAAACUCGGAGCGCUGAGGCCCGUCCUGUUCAUCCCGUUCUCCAUCAUGUUUGUUGUAUCGCUGUCAGCAAACUCCCUGCUGAUGUACGUCGUCAUUUCACAGAGAAGCCUCCACUCACCGAUGUACAUCCUCAUCGCCUGCAUGGCAUGUGUGGACCUGAGCCUUCCGCUGUUCAUAGUCCCCAACAUGCUGCUGAGCUUCUUGUUUGACUGGAGGGGAAUCUCUCUGGCCGGCUGCCUGGUUCAGAUGUAUUUUGUUCACCUGUUAGGAGCUUUCCAGUCUACUCUGCUGCUGUGGAUGGCACUGGACCGCUACUUUGCCAUCUGCACACCACUUUACUACCAUGAACGCAUGGCGUUACUGAGAGUCCUCAAAUUUGUGAUCCCACUUGUGGUCAGAAAUGUGUUCGUGGUCUCGCUGGUAGUGACACUGGCAGGAUCAUUACCAUUCUGCUUCAAAAACACGAUAGACCACUGUUUCUGUGAGCACAUGGCCUUGGUGGAGCUGGCCUGUGGAAGUACCGCCAUCAACAGUCUGGUGGGGUUGAUCUCAGUUUUCCUCAUCCCAGUAGCUGACUUCAUCACUAUCACUGCCUCCUACAUAGUCAUAUUCAGCUCUGUGCUGAGUUCUGGCAAGUCAGGUGUCAAAGCGCUCCACACCUGCGUCACCCACAUCGUGGUCAUGACUGUCAGCCUGACCAUCGUACUCACAGCUUUCCCUGUAUCGUAUCAGGAACGGUCUCCCUGCAGCCAUUCGGGUUUUCUUCAGCAUCAUGUACUUGUUCUUUCCGAGCUGUUUCAACCCGAUCAUUUACGGCAUCAGAACCACAGAGAUACGACAGCACAUCCUGAAGACACUGACGUGUUGUCGUCAACUUGUCCAAACGGUUCCCCAUUCUUAAGAGAGUGUUAAAAAAUAUUUUAUAUGAAGUAUCUCUACUCUAUAAAAGCUCAUUUAUGCCAGGACAAGAAAGAAGAUGGUGAGAAGUUAGGAAUCACAAAAAUAGAAUUGGUCAAGAUUAGGAUAAACUAAUUAACAUAGUCAAAAUUAUGAGAUUUUGACCUACUACCUUUGACUUCACAUCAAACGUGACUUAUUUUAUAAUUGUGAUCCUGAGGUGGGUACACUCAUCAGUGAUACCUGGGCUCAUCGAGUGUUUCAGAUCUUUUAAAACGCCCUUGCCCAAAUAACUCAGGUUUAUCAGACCUCAACUUGUGCCCCAGUUAAUCCAGAGGCAUCUGGACGCUCUUUCAGCGGCUUCCGAUGUUUCCUGGUGACUCUCAUCUCUGCUGCCAUCCUGAUGCCCAGCAUCUUGAAUGCUCCAGUGGCCAGCAAGCUCUCCAUCCCUGCCUCUGACACUGCUCUCUCAGCUCCUGACAUUCUGCUGUGCAUACGUACCAUCCUGGUGGUCUGUACCUAAUUGAUACCUGCCUGUACCUCCUCCUGGACUACAUGCCAUCUGUCCCUGACAUGAGCCUUGUCAUAAUUUAGGAACUCCCCCCUUCUAUGCCUGCAGCCAACACUUCAGGGGUCAGUGAAGUACCAGUACUGCAAAAACUCUCUUUCUCUCAUUUGGGAGACCAUGAAUUCUUCGAUCAGGCUGCUAAUGUGAAGCUGCAACAUGUUCUUUCCAGAGAGACCUAUGCUGCUUAUGCUGCUACGAGGGAGAACCGGCCACCUGAAUCAGUAGCUGCUGAUCUUCCUCUCCACCAACUCUACACUUGUCGGUUGGCCUAGUGGUUGAGACACAAACCAUAAAACCACAACAUUCCCGGUUUGAUUUUGGCUUAGGAUCUGUGAAUGUCAUCCCUUCUCUCUCUCCACAUCUGUCCCAUCUUUAUAUCUAUUGUCAUUAUCAAGUAAAGGCAAAGUUGCAAAUAAAAAAACUCAACUGUGGUACCUGGUAAACUAGAAGAGGCCAGGGGACACGAGGAAGAAUGCCAUGUUGCCAUAUCCAAGGCUGGGCAUCAGCCACGUUGUCACAACUUUGAAAAUGUAUAUAAAUGAACACAACACAGAACAGUGUAUCAAAAAUCCAAAUAAAACCUCUAUCCAGCUAGAUCCAGAUUUCUCAUGUGUGACAUUUGUUGAAGAUCAGUUUAAAUUUGAAGGCUGUGAAAAUCUUUAUAUAAUUUGUACAUAAUUAAAAAUGGCCAGAAAUCUUUUUGGCAAAAUCUGGCACGACCCAAACAGAAAGAUGUGUUGUGAUCCAAGAAAUCUGGGAAAACAAAAUUUGGCUGCUAGCCUGUGGCUAACACCCUGGGUGCUAACUGACCAUAGCAACAACAACCUAUAACUCCAGGUCCUACAGCCACAAUAAUGCAAUUCUAUUAAUUUAAGGGAAAUAAUUGAAUAGUUUGAGGGAUUGAUUUAUUUAUUUUAGGGUUUGAAUUAUGAAUGUGUGGGAACAAAUUACAAAUCUGUACACAUAAAUUAUCAACAGGUUUAACCUUCAUACCUGCCAGUCUCCAGAAUGUUGGAUUUUUCAUGAAGCACUUUUUAACUUUGGUUUUAAGAAGUGAACUACAAACAAAGUUUUCCAAACUUAGUGUCUUAUUUUGGCUGUGAUGCUGCUGCUCCCUGGGAUUUUCAGUCGGUCACACUGACAACAUGACGAGGUGUUGGACUUUGUCUCUGCAGCCAAUGGCAGCGUCAGACAGAGGGUAUUAAAGUGCUGAGUCAGCGGUUCAGCGGGGACAGGUGGAUGUGGGGACAGAUGUGGGGAUAGAUGAAGGAGAGUCAGCAGAUGACAUUAGCCUGCAGACGGACACGUUUACUGAAGAACUCCCAAACACCAACAACAAGUAAAACCUGCUGAUUUCGUUUCUGCAGAGCUGAACUGUCAGCAGCUCUUCAGGUUGAACUCUUCAUCUUCAAGUUCUGAAAUCUGAUUUUCUUCAAACCAACAAAACAAUCAGAGAUACUGACAUCUCUGGAAAACUCCUAAAACAAGGGAACGUGAACUGGGAACAAGUGGGAUUAUUUCACUCCAUUGGCUAAAUCUUUUGAUUUCAGUGCGUUUUCAGUUUUCUUUUCGACUGGAAACCAAACACCCUGAAGAGAGAUGAGCCACCUCCGCUCUUUGUGAGGUUUGUUUGCGAUAAUAAUUCAUACUAUUGAUGAAUUGUUGUUUUUCCCCUGACAGAUAUUUGCUGUGGAGACAUGUCAAAGUUUCCAUGCAGAUGUACAUACUGGUAAAUGUUAUUACUGUAUUUCUGGUAGACAUGAUUUCUCAGCCUCCUCUGACGUCUCCACCGUGUCAUUCUCAUAUUGCUCAUAUGUUUUACACUAAUGUAACUUCAAAAUUACAGCUACUAAAACUGACCUCUGAUUUAAACAAACGCUUGCAAAAUGUUAAAAAUAGCAGAAAGGUUUCUUCCUUCUUUCAGUCAAGACAAAGAGCUACAGGAAUGGUGAGAAGUGAAAAUGUUUCAGGUGGGGGUCAAAUGUAGAAAGUGGCUACAGGCCUGUUAUAGGAGCCCUUUUUCCUUCCCUGAUGGAGUUAAGAGUUUGUUCUGGGACUCACUGAAGAAACAUUGUUCUCUACACCCUGUUGUGCAGAGAUUUUGCUUUUGCUUUCCUCAGGGCUUUACGAUCUGUACAGCAUACAACACCCUCUAUCCUUAGAACCUCAAUUCAGAUAAAACAGGAGGGGUCCUGUAAUGACAGACAGACAUGUACUGUAACAGGUGUUGUCUUUACAGAGUAGACACCUGGACAAGUAGUAGAAUUACAAUAUGAAGAAGCACAAUCAUAAUAUAGAAAUAUAGUACAAACGUUUAAGUGUGAUAAGUUAUAUAUUAAUGGAGAUUUUCUGCUGUGUGAUUCCCUAAACUUACUGAAUCUCUUAUCAUAUCUCUUUAGGUUCAGCUUUCAGCAUCAGCAUGUAACGAUGUAAUGUAAAGUAAUAACUGAAACUCAUAUACCGAGAGUACAUGUGUGAUGAUCUGUUGUUGUGGGUGUCAGUCUAAUGAAUGUUAAGAAAAACUGUAGCUCUAACAUGAAAAUGAGCUGAGCUUGAUUAAAUCUGACACAUUGAAAUAACAGCUGGAGCCUCCUGACUUGUACACCUUAUUGUUCACUAGAUACUGGAAGACUGACUCCUGAAACUGAUGUAAAGCUGAUGGUUUCCCCAGAGAAGACUGCAAACAAGUACUAACAAAUGAUCUUUGUUCAGUGAAGAAGAAAGCCAAGGAGACCAGAGUUCAUGUCCUGUUAUACACCUGCAAUUACCAUUGUCAUUCCCACCAUCAUCUCUCCCGAACCUUAACCAGGUGUGCAGAUUUUGUAGAAAAGUGAGAAUUUAAAAAAAGUUGGCAUUGAACAUAAUCUGGGGUUUUGCAGAAUUGUCCAAUAUCAAUGUUCUGUCUGGUCAUAGAGUUGUAUUUUUUCUUUCAAUCAGUGAAAGCGACGGUCAGCGAUGGCUAAAAAUGAAAAGCCUUUAAUAUUACAUAAAUGUUUUGUACAUUUCACUUUGCUGCUAAAAAUAAAUAUAUUAAUAUUUGGAUUACAGAUUGUGCAUUUAAGAAUGAAAUUGUAGUGUGGGUCGCCACAGCAAGCACAAUAACUUCUAAAGGGGUUUUGUGCAACUUGAACGCACCUUACGGAAAUAUAAUUUGCUGCUGUGGCAAAGUGAAUUAACCAUUCAAAUCUUUGUCUCUG